rnacentral:tRNA from 1 species
GGGGAAGUAGCUCAAUUGGUAGAGCAAGCAAAUUAGUGUAUUACACUUAAUCUAUCACGACCAUCUCAGAAGGUUCGAGGUUCGAUUCCUCGCUCUCUA